rnacentral:rRNA from 1 species
CGACGCCGCGUGGGGGAUGAAGGCCUUCGGGUUGUAAACCCCUUUCGGCAGGGACGAAGCGAAAGUGACGGUACCUGCAGAAGAAGCGCCGGCUAACUACGUGC